rnacentral:rRNA from 1 species
AGCAGCCGCGGUAAUUCCAGCUCCAAUAGCGUAUAUUAAAGUUGUUGCAGUUAAAAAGCUCGUAGUUGAAUUUCGGGAUCAAUACGUCGGUCGUGCUUCGGUACGUACUGGCGUCAUUGAUUUCUCCCUUCUGACGAACCAUGAUGUCAUUAAUUUGGUGUUAUGGGAAAUCAGGACUGUUACUUUGAAAAAUUAGAGUGCUUAAAGCAGGCUCACGCUUGAAUACAUUAGCAUGGAAUAAUGAAAUAGGACGUUCGAUCCUAUUUUGUUGGUUUUAGGAUCAACGUAAUGAUUAAUAGGGAUAGUUGGGGGCAUUAGUAUUCAAUUGUCAGAGGUGAAAUUCUUGGAUUUAUUGAAGACUAACUACUGCGAAAGCAUUUGCCAAGGAUGUUUUCAUUAAUCAAGAACGAAAGUUAGGGGAUCGAAGACGAUCAGAUACCGUCGUAGUCUUAACCAUAAACUAUGCCGACUAGGGAUCGGAUGAUGUUAAUUUUUUAAUGACUCAUUCGGCGCCUUACGG